GGAUAUCUCGGCUCUCGCAUCGAUGAAGAACGUAGCGAAAUGCGAUACUUGGUGUGAAUUGCAGAAUCCCGUGAACCAUCGAGUCUUUGAACGCAAGUUGCGCCCGAGGCCGCCAGGUCGAGGGCACGUCUGCCUGGGCGUCACGUGACGCGCCACACCCAAC
rnacentral:rRNA from 1 species